UACGUAGGGUGCGAGCGUAAUCGGAAUUACUGGGCGUAAAGCGUGCGCAGGCGGUGAUGUAAGACCGAUGUGAAAUCCCCGGGCUUAACCUGGGAACUGCAUUGGUGACUGCAUUGCUGGAGUAUGGCAGAGGGGGGUGGAAUUCCACGUGUAGCAGUGAAAUGCGUAGAGAUGUGGAGGAACACCGAUGGCGAAGGCAGCCCCUGGGCCAAUACUGACGCUCAUGCACGAAAGCGUGGGGAGCAAACAGG
rnacentral:rRNA from 1 species